GAUGAAGAACGUAGCAAAAUGCGAUAAGUAAUGUGAAUUGCAGAAUUCAGUGAAUCAUCGAAUCUUUGAACGCACAUUGCGCCCGCCAGUAUUCUGGCGGGCAUGCCUGUUCGAGCGUCAUUUCAACCCUCAAGCACAGCUUGGUGUUGGGACUCGCGUUAAUUCGCGUUCCCCAAAUUGAUUGGCGGUCACGUCGAGCUUCCAUAGCGUAGUAGUAAAACCCUCGUUACUGGUAAUCGUCGCGGCCAGGCCGUUAAACCCCAACUUCUGAAUGUUGACCUCGGAUCAGGUAGGAAUACCCGCUGAACUUAAGCAUAUCAAUAAGCGGAGGA
rnacentral:misc_RNA from 1 species